rnacentral:rRNA from 1 species
GAUCCUGGCUCAGAGCGAACGCUGGCGGCAGGCUUAACACAUGCAAGUCGAGCGGGCGUAGCAAUGGGGAGCGGCAGACGGGUGAGUAACGCGUGGGUAUCUACCUAGUGGUGCGGAAUAGCCCAGGGAAACUUGGAGUAAUACCGCAUAAGCCCGAAAGGGGAAAGAUUUAUCGCCAUUAGAUGAGCCCGCGUUGGAUUAGCUAGUUGGUGGGGUAACGGCCCACCAAGGCGACGAUCCAUAGCUGGUCUGAGAGGAUGAUCAGCCACACUGGGACUGAGACACGGCCCAGACUCCUACGGGAGGCAGCAGUGGGGAAUAUUGGACAAUGGGCGCAAGCCUGAUCCAGCCAUGCCGCGUGAGUGACGAAGGUCUUCGGAUUGUAAAGCUCUUUUGGCGGGGACGAUAAUGACGGUACCCGCAGAAUAAGCCCCGGCUAACUUCGUG